CUCAUUACAAUUGGGACUCAAAAAAAUUACACUAUAAGAGACGCAUUGUGCUUAUGAUAAAUGCUACUUGCAUCUUCACGAGUAGAUUUUGGACAAAGUUAUUCUAUAUGCAGGGUACUAAAUUGAAAAGGAGUAUGGCAUAUCACCCACAAAUCGACGGCCAGACAGAAGUUGUAAAUAGGUGCUUGGAGACAGCCCAAAGCCACCCGCCAAAUAUGACUAUCCAAGGAAAACUCCAGACCCAGCCAAGUACCAUUAUUGAUCGACG
rnacentral:lncRNA from 1 species